rnacentral:tRNA from 1 species
GCUCCCGUGGCGAAAUUGGUAAACGCUUCCGUUUGAGGGACGGAAUUGUUACAGGUACCGCUUCGCGGAAGCAAGCUACGAUUCCUGUCAGGAGUACCA